rnacentral:lncRNA from 1 species
AGCAACAAAGAGUGUAUGAAUAUAUAGGGGCCAUUUUUAUCAGUUAUGUAUAAGCAAACAAGACUCUGAUUAUAAUUAUUUUGCUGCAUCCCAAAACCAACCCAUGCGGCUUGCCCUUUUUUCUCUUCACCUGCCCACCCACUCCAGCCUAGCUUGAAAACGAUUGCCUUUUUAUUAUGGGUAUAAUAUACAUAUGUCCUGUAUACCUAUAUCUAGAUGAAUACAUACGCUUCAAUGCAUGUUCAGCAAAUAUGUGUUGUUUUGACUUAAUGCAAUUAUAAGACAACAAUCCGAGACAAGAAGACUGCAAUAAGCUCUGGUCUUUCAACGAUUUAAAAACAUUAGGGGAAAAAAACUGAUUUUCAUGAUUAUGAGAUUGAUGCAAUUGGGUUCAAACUGGCUAGUUGCUGUAUAUGUAUGCAUAUAUAUAGAUAUAUGUGUGUGUGUGUGUGUGUGUGUCCAUUUAAUCUCUCUUGCAUUGUCUGCAUAACAUAUAAUUGAAAAUGUUUUUAUGGUGGGCGCAGAAAUUGUCUCUACAACUAAUUAGUACAUUGUCCUACGAGUAGUCCA